GUCCCCGCAGCGCCGCUCCGGAGGGGAAGGCGGGCGGGAGAGGCUCAUCCGCUUCCUGGAUCACCGGGCAGGCAUUACCGCUUCCGGGGAGCGCCGCCGCCGGGCCACCCGGAAAAGGGGGAAUGCGGCGGGCGAUGAAGGGAAGCGCGGCCCGGCACCGGAGGGAGCUCCCGGCAUGCGGGGACCCGGGGCGGGGCUGCCCCUGAGGGAGGGCCCGAGGCGCCCGAGGGUCGGAGCACCCCGGGCCGCCCUGGUCGGUGACGGCCGGCGUGAACGGGGUCAGUCACGGAAUGGUCGGGGUUGGAGUGACCGGAGGAGAUCACUCGGUCCAUCCCCCUGCCCACACAAGGUCACCCAGAGCAGGUGACACGAGGAUGCGUCCAGGUAGCUCUGAAAUGUCUCCAGAGAGGGAGACUCCACACCCUCCCUGUGCAGCUCUUCCAGAGCUCUGCCACCCUCAAUGGAAAGAAUUCCUCCUUGUGUAGGGGUGAAACUUCUCGUGUUUUAGUUUAUGCCCUUUGCUCCUUGUCCUGUCGCUGUACACCACCGAAGAGGCUGGCACCAUCCUCUUGACACCCUCCUGGGAGAUGUUUAUUUGUAUGGGAGUUCUGUGAGGCAUUGGUGGACUUCAUGGGUAGCUGCCCGAUGUGUCAUUCCCAUGGCUGUUCCUGGCUAGUUCAGUGGGAGUCAGAGCAUUAGGGAUCUAUUUUCCACUGACUACAAAUAUAUAAGUAAAUAUAACCCUUGAAGUUUAAUGAUUUAUAAUGUAGGGUUUUAAAUGGAUAGAGAUAAUAACACCCCAUUACACUUCUGUUGAGUCUAAUUAGUGGUAUUAGAUCCAUAAAAUUGACCCUUGUUUUACUUUGCACUGAGAUGCUAUUCCUUUCUUUUAAAUAAAUCUCCUGUUCACCUUGGUCA